rnacentral:rRNA from 1 species
GGAAACAUGGGGUAAUACCGCAUGAAGUCCGGCUUUUAAAGUAUCUUGGAUAUUUAGUAUCAGGGUAUUUUAGAAGUCGGAUGAAAGGCACAAUUGUGUCGUCCUUUGAUGAGUCUGCGGUCCAUUAGUUAGUUGGCAGGGUAAGAGCCUACCAAGGCGAUGAUGGAUAGCCGGCCUGAGAGGGUGUACGGUCACACUGGGACUGAGACACGGCCCAG